AGAUGGAGUCAUAGACGCAGUUUUUCAUAUUCCUGAUCCUCUGGAUGUCUGGUGGUGAAGGGAACAUUGGGAUGACCCAGUCUCCUGAAUUCAUGUCCACAUCUGUAGGAGAGAGGAUCUCCCUAAGCUGCAAGUCCAGUCAGAAUGUGGGUACUGCUAUAGCUUGGUACCAACAGAAAUCGGGGCAGCCUCCUAAAUUGCUAAUCUACUCUGCAUCAUCUCGAUACACUGGGGUUCCUGAUCGCUUCACAGGCAGUGGAUCUGGGACAGAUUUCACUCUCAGCAUCAGCAGUGUGCAGGCAGAAGACCUGGCAGUUUAUUACUGUCAGCAGUAUAGCAGCUAUCCUCCCACAUGUGAUGAUAGUUUUGGCUAUAAAUUUAACCUGGAUAUUCUCACAAUGCAGUACCCAAGCUAUUUCCUUUCUUACUUGAUAAUUAUUCGCAUAGGUUCCUACAAGCCAGCCCAGCUGCCCAUAUUUUAUAACCCUGGGUUUUGA